GCAGCAUGUGAACUAAAAUUGGAAUAAUUCAGAUGAGAUCUGACUGGCCAUAUGUGAGGCCAACAGGCGAACUCAUGGAGUUCUGUAUUUU
rnacentral:snRNA from 1 species